GCAGACAGACGGCGGGUGCUAAGGUCCGUCGUCAAGAGGGAAACAGCCCUGACCACCAGCUAAGGUCCCUAAGUCACAGUUAAGUGGGAAAGGAUGUGAGGAGGCCAAGACAACCAGGACGUUGGCUUAGAAGCAGCCAUCGUUUAAAGAAAGCGUAAUAGCUCACUGGUCUAAAUAAGCCGCCUUGCGCCGAAGAUGUACCGGGGCUCAAACUGUGCACCGAAGCUGUGGAAACGAUCUUUGAUCGUUUGGUAGCGGAGCGUUCCGUAGGUCUGUGAAGGGAUACCUGUGAGGGGUCCUGGAGAUAUCGGAAGUGCGAAUGCUGAC
rnacentral:rRNA from 1 species